rnacentral:rRNA from 1 species
UACGUAGGGGGCAAGCGUUGUCCGGAUUUAUUGGGCGUAAAGAGCGUGUAGGCGGCUUUACAGUCCGUUGUGAAAACUCGAGGCUCAACCUCGAGACGCCGGUGGAAACUGCAAAGCUAGAGUCCGGAAGAGGAGAGUGGAAUUCCUGGUGUAGCGGUGAAAUGCGCAGAUAUCAGGAAGAACACCGACGGCGAAGGCAGCACUCUGGGCCGGUACUGACGCUGAGGAGCGAAAGCAUGGGGAGCGAACAGG